UUGGGUUUUCUUUUAUUUAAUUUUUCCAUUUUUUCUUAACUUUAAAAUCUAUAGCUAUACAGCAAUCUCCCUCUCAGUUUAGGAGGGCCAUCCUAAGAAUAGAGCUCACUCUAAAGGCAUGAGAGGACAAU
ensembl:scaRNA